CCUACGGGAGGCAGCAGUGGGGAAUAUUGCACCAUGGGCGCAAGCCUGACCCAGCAACGCCGCGUGAAGGAAGAAGGCUUUCGGGUUGUAAACUUCUUUUGUCAGGGAAGAGUAGAAGACGGUACCUGACGAAUAAGCAACGGCUAACUACGUGCCAGCAGCCGCGGUAAUACGGAGGUGGCAAGCGUUGUCCGGAUUUACUGGGUGUAAAGGGCGUGUAGCCGGGUUGAAAAGUCAGAUGUGAAAUCCUGCGGCUUAACCGCAGAACUGCAUUUGAAACUGUUGAUCUUGAGUACUGGAGAGGCAGACGGAAUUCCUAGUGUAGCGGUGAAAUGCGUAGAUAUUAGGAGGAACACCAGUGGCGAAGGCGGUCUGCUGGACAGCAACUGACGGUGAGGCGCGAAAGCGUGGGGAGCAAACAGGAUUAGAUACCCGAGUAGUC
rnacentral:rRNA from 1 species